UCCCUGGUAGCUGAGAGGUUAAAGCGUCUGCCUACAAUGCGGGAGUCCCGGGUUCGAUCCCUGGGUCAGGGAA
rfam:Ovis aries breed Texel chromosome 7, whole genome shotgun sequence.